GGAUCAUUACCGAGUUAGGGUCUCCCAGGCCCGAGUCUCCCAACCCUUUGUUUACUCACCCGACGUUGCUUCGGCGGGCCCGUCCCCCGGGACCGCCGGGGGGUCCUGACAGAUCCUCUGGCCCGCGCCCGCCGGGAGCCUCUUGAACUCAACUAAAUUCGUGUCCCCGGUCUGAGCACACCUUCUGAAAUGAAGAAACAAAACUUUCAACAACGGAUCUCUUGGUUCUGGCAUCGAUGAAGAACGCAGCGAAAUGCGAUAAGUAAUGCGAAUUGCAGAAUUCCAGUGAGUCAUCGAAUCUUUGAACGCACAUUGCGCCCUUUGGUAUUCCGAAGGGCAUGCCUGUUCGAGCGUCAUUAGUCACCCCUCAAGCCCCCUGGGUUUGGCCUUGGAGCGUCUAGGUCCCGGGACCCCCCGGACCCCUCCCAAAGUGAACGACGGCGGCCCGUCCGACCCCCGGUACACCGAGCUCCUUAACCGGGCCCGUAUCGGUCUAAAGUGGUCGGCGGCCGACGGUCUCCUCCCGGCCACGGGAAAAGGAACUCUGUUCCAUCACCAGGUUGACCUCGGAUCAGGUAGGGAUACCCGCUGAACUUAAGCAUAUCAAUAAGCGGAGGAAAAGAAACCAACAGGGAUUGCCUCAGUAACGGCGAGUGAAGCGGCACCAGCUCAAAUUUGAAAUCUGGCUCCUCUCCGGGGCCCGAGUUGUAAUUUGCAGAGGAUGUUUCGGGCACCGCCCCGGUCUAAAUUUCUUGGAACAGAAUGUCAGAGAGGGUGAGAAUCCCGUCCUGGACCGGCGGUAGGGCCCAUGUGAAACUCCCUCGACGAGUCGAGUUGUUUGGGAAUGCAGCUCAAAAUGGGUGGUAAAUUUCAUCUAAAGCUAAAUAUUGGCCAGAGACCGAUAGCGCACAAGUAGAGUGAUCGAAAGAUGAAAAGCACUUUGAAAAGAGAGUUAAACAGUAUGUGAAAUUGUUGAAAGGGAAGCGCUUGCAACCAGACUUGAGCGCGGCGGUUCCCCUUCCUUUUGGUUGGGUUACUCCGCCGUGUCCAGGCCAACAUCGGUUCUGGGGGUCGGUCAAAGGCCCCGGGAAUGUACCUACCCCUCCGGGGUAGACUUAUAGCCCGGGGUGUCAUGCGACCCCCCGGGACCGAGGAACGCGCUUCGGCUCGGAUGUUGGCGUAAUGGUUGUCAGCGACCCGUCUUGAAACACGGACCAAGGAGUCUAACAUCUAUGCGAGUGUUUGGGUGUCAAACCCGGAACGCGGAAUGAAAGUGAACGGAGGUAGGAAGCUUCGGCUGCACUAUCGACCGAUCCUGAUGUCUUCGGAUGGAUUUGAGUAAGAGCAUAGCUGUUGGGACCCGAAAGAUGGUGAUCUAUACCUGAAUAGGGUGAAGCCAGAGGAAACUCUGGUGGAGGCUCGCAGCGGUUCUGACGUGCAAAUCGAUCGUCAAAUUUGGGUAUAGGGCGAAAGACUAAUCGAACCAU
rnacentral:rRNA from 1 species